GUUUACAUCCAUCCAUUGAUGCCAUUUCUGCCUGUAUGUUUCUGCACCUUGGCAGUGUGGCAGAGCUGUAGGAGACAAAAGAAGAGCAAUAAACAGCUCACUACUGGGUUUUCUUCCAUUACUGUGUGACAGUGCUCACCUUGAAGCCUUAGCACCUUUUCUGCAGAGAAGAUCACCUUGUGGAUUUUGGCAAAAACAAUUCCUGUUUAGAUCUCUCAACACCAGCUGCCACCAUUUCACCUCCAACAGCCAUGUACAGCUCCAGCUACUCCCGGGCCAAGUUUGGCCUGGAGGCCAGGGAGCCCCUGCACAAGCCCAAAGGGAAGAGCUGCGGCUACUACAUGAGGAUUGUCUUCUUCUUUUCCUCUCUGAUCCAGUCUCUGAUCAUCGUCAGCCUGGUGCUCUUCCUCAUCUACGGACAGCCAGAGAAGUCUGCAGAGGAAAAGAGGGUCAAGGAGCUGGAGCUGAACUUCAACAGGCUGAGUGAGAUCAACAUCCAGCUGAGAAAGGACAAAGGCGAGCUGGGAGCUCAGCUGGCAGCCCGCACAGCUGAGAAAGGUGUUCUGGAGAAACAGUUGGUAAAGCUGAAGACUGAUGCCAACAACACAGAACAUGGGCUAAAUGUCAAGUUAGCUACCUGUAUGAGUAGCGUGAUGGUGCGGCGUCCGCCUCCGUUCCAGCCCCCUGUUACGGUCAACAGCAACAGUGAAAUAAAGACUCUGCAGACCCUCAACGCGCAGCAAAAAGCUAGAAUAAAUUUAAUUGAGGCAAACUUCACUCAGAUGGUUCACUACCUGAGUCAGGAGAGAGACAACGCUCUCAAAGACCGAGACACACACCACCAAGAUGCCAUCACCCUGCGCCGGGACAAUACCAUGCUAAAGGAGCAGCUGAUCACCUACACCAGGAAGUGCAAAGAGGACUUUGCUCAUUCUUUGGACGGGAUCCAAACGGUGACCAGGGAUUUUCUGAACAAGAUCAACAACCUGUUUCCCCACCAGAUGACCUUUCACCUCACCUGUGACAGCCAGAAGGAGCAAAUGGAGAAGAUAAGAAACAGCUGCACGAACUUGUCCAGAGACGUGGAGCAUAAGUUCCAGCUGUAUUUAGACAAAGUGGGCAACAAGGUAGCCGAGAUCCAAGACCUGUCUAGUCGUCUGGAAGUGCAGAACUCCCAUUUGACCUCUGAUUUGCAGCAGUGUGAACGCAAUCACAGCGUGGCAGCCCGUGAGGCCGCCAACCAGCUACAGCUCAAGCAAAAGGCUCAUGAUGACCAGGUGGAGAAAUUACUGAUUGAGCAGAACCGGCUAAGAGAUCAGAAGAAGCUGCAGGAAGACAGUUUGGCCCUGAAAGAGAGAGAGCUACAGACCCUCCAACAAAGGCUCUCUGCUCAGUCCAAUAUUAAGGUCAUUGCUGCUCUCAAAAGACCAUCUGGCUAAAUGUCUUGGAUUUGGCUUUCUCAUUGUAUGCACAAGAGUGCCAUCCAUCCCUGUGUUUUUAAAUAAGAUUGGCUCCCCUUAUCAUAUGGACUGCAGUGCAGAGGUGAGAUGAAACGAACCUGAAGAAUCAUUACUGAAGGCAUCAGUAGUGUGCCACAGUCAUUAACAUUUUGCCUUUAAAGAAUUUUCUGAGGACAUGUAUAUAUUCUUGAUACAACACACUUCAACACAACUUGUAAAUACUCUCUGCGUCUAUAUUAAGGAAACAUUUACUGUUGUUGAUCUGUGCAUGCUUUGUUUAGCUCUACUUGGAAUAGAAGAUUCAUGUGUCUUACUUGUUUUUGAGUUUAAACAUUUUCUGUGAAAAGCCUAGGUUAAAUGUAAAAUUUCUAUGACACUUGUGUAAAUAUUUCCUAUUUUGUGUCACUUACUGUUGUUUGUGUAGUUAGGAAAACCAACACUGGGCAAUGUUUUCCUUAACAUGCAAUUGAAAUUGUUCAAAAAAACCAGAAUCACUCCUUUACUGUAUUGUCCUUAGCCUGUUUUGUCUCUCUAGUAUUAAAAAUACAACAAAGACCUAGACAGGACUUUAGGCAGCAGCUUCUCACAUGUGUGCUAUAAACAGUAGUCUCAAAAUAGCUACAUUUACAUUUCCUACUGAUUCACAGAUGUUUGAAUUUCUACUGCAGCCCGGAUGUCAAUUCAUUCAAUGACCAUGUCAUAAACACAUCAUCACACUUGCAGUCAUUAGCAGUCGUAAAUAUUAUAUGUAAAAAAUGAGAAGAAAGAUGUACAUGUGUUACACUGAAAGUAGUAGUUUUUAUGGAUAAAUCAUCAAAUAAAAGUUGAGACUAUAAAUAUA